rnacentral:RNase_MRP_RNA from 1 species
GGCCGUGCUGAAGGCCUGUUUCCUAGGCUACGCACGGGGGACUGGUUCCUUAUCCUUCCGCCUAGGGGAAAGUCCCCGGACCUUCGGCAGAGAGUGCCGCGUGCGUCUGCACGCAGACCAACCCGCUUUCCACUGCACCGUCCGCCAAGACGCGAAUUCGCUGAGCGGCGUGGCCGCGGGUCGUCAAUCCGUCAGCUCUCCUAGUUACGCAGGCAGUGCGUCCCUGGGCGCGCCAACCACACGGGGCUCAUUCUCAGCGCGGC